AUGACCUCCCUUACAAAUCCCUUGCACUUAUAUUCUUAUUCCAGAGGCUGCUUCUGGAGAAACCCAAAAGUAGACUCUUGUGUGAAGAACAAAGACACAGCUUUAGCCUGGGGAUGGACACCUCCCAGCAGCCCUGGCUGCCGCUCACUGCUGUGCUGCAGCCUGAGCCCUCAGAGGGGAAGAUCUGCUGAAGACAGGGAGAGGUCCUUGCAGUCCCUUGGCAAAGCAGGUGCUACCUCUGUGGCUCUGGAGAACAGAGAAUUCACUGAAGGACAUGAGAUGCCCAGUGGCUCCCCCAUGCCAACCUACCACAAUGCUCCCAACUCAAGAGAAAAGAGGGCCUCACCCCAAGAAGCCACGGAUGAAUGCUUAUGGAAGGAGAGAAUGAAUGAUUGAGAUAACAUCGUCCUGAACACAUCAGGCAAGAUACCUGAAGGAAAUAGGAAGCAUGUCCAGAGGGGACUUGAAGAGGCAUCCAUGGAGGGACAGUUGACUGAGCUGUAAAGAGGGGAUGUGGAAGCACCGGGGACCCAGCAAUAGCACACAGCAUCACUCCACCUCUGCGAAGGGGGCUAGAAGAGGGCACGGUCUUACUGGAAUGGGGCAGGAGCUGGACUGUGGAGGGUGGGCCACUCUGCAUGGCAGGAGCUAUAGGACCCAUGGUCACCACCCAGCACAUGGGGAUCACUCCUAUUGGCUUCGUUGCCUGUCUUCCUCAGGGCGCGGUGAGAUCCUUAAUAAACCAGGUUUUGCUACACUCUAGACCCCCCCAAAUUAAGCACCAGGUCUUCCAUUGAGUAAGUCUUAGUUAACUAAUGAAUUGAGUCCUCUUGAUUUCCUAAGACCACUCACUCCUGGAUGGUGAUCUCUUUACCUACCAUGGGCUUCCCCCAAAAGAGACAUCAAGGACUGAACUGAUCACCCCUGUCCCAAAAUGGCCACACUCACGUGACAUUCAGUUUCCACUGGAUAUGCCCCUCUCCAAAUGGGGUGCAGGGUUCUGGAUCCUGCCUCUCAAACCCAAAGAGCAGCAUCACUGAGCGCACACACAGACAAACACAGUGAGUUACCGCCAAAAGUUAGGACUCCAGUAGAGAACUCAGAGAAUUUGGGAGUCUGAGAUGACUGGGACAGCCAGAGAAAAGCUCUUCCGGAUUUCCAUUCCAUCUUUAUGCCUUCUUGGGGUUAAUAUGGAAACAGGGAACCAGGCUCAGCCCCUAAAAUCCUUCAGUUCAAUGUCUCAAGAGGAAGGGUUAAACACACAAGGCCAUCUUCUUGUGAAAGAGUGAGUGGAUUAUGUCACCCUCAUAUGUAGAACUCUUGAGUGGGUCCCCAUUCUACCUAGAACUAAACCUAAGCUCUCUCUGUGGUCACCAAGGCCCUUGAGCAUCUGGAUCCUGCCUAAUUCCCCUUCCUCACCUUACUCCCCAUCCCCUCCAUUCACUGUCCUUCUCCGCAGUUACUUUUCUUUUGUCUCCAAAUAUCCUACACUCACAUCUCAGGACUUAGUGUCCUCUGUUCUCUCUGCAUGAAGUGCUGUUCCCCCAGACUAUCUCAUUCUGCCUCUUUCUUGUUACUCAGAUACCAACUCAAGGGCACCCACUUUGCAUGGUCUUCCCUGAACCUAGCUAAGGAAUGUGCUGCCUCCUAGUCAUGCUCUACCACAUUCCUUUAUUUUUUUGCCAUCACAGCACUUACCAAGACCUCACAUUGUUUUAUUGAUUUUGGUAGAUAUUUAUGGUCUGACUUUAAUUUGUAAGAGCAGGCUCAGUUUGCCUUUGACAUUAUCAUAUCCUCAGUGUGAGAAGUGCCUGGCAUGCAGUAGGCACUUAAUAAAUCAUUGUUGAGCAGUUAUUAACUAUAAUGAUGAGAACUAAUGUUUAAUAACCACCCAUUGUAUACUGGGAGAAAUGGUACUUUGGGGGGAAUUUGAACUUCAGAUUCCUGUUUCACCCAUAUUUGCUGUGUGUUUUGCC
rnacentral:lncRNA from 10 species